UGGAGGGAUAUAAAACUAGGAGUGGGAGGGAAGCAAAUGCUACAGCAUUCAAAGAAACUUGGACUGAGGAAUAUUAUAACUACUAAUUGGAGAUCAGCACAAUAGACAACAAUACUAAAGAAAACUUGUUCUUUAACUCAGCUGAUUGACAAAAGAUCAUUAGGAAGCAAUUGAUAAAUUUCAAUUACAACUAACAUCAAGACAAAUCAUUUGAUAAAUACUUCAACGGCACUUAAAGUAGAGAGAGAGAGAGAGAG
rnacentral:misc_RNA from 1 species